GGGCUUGACAUCCCACGAACCUGCCCGAAAGGGUGGGGUGCCCGCAAGGGAGCGUGGAGACAGGUGGUGCAUGGCUGUCGUCAGCUCGCGUCGUGAGAUGUUGGGUUAAGUCCCGCAACGAGCGCAACCCUCACCCCUAGUUGCCACCGGGUUAAGCCGAGCACUCAAGGGGAACUGCCAGCGUCAAGCUGGAGGAAGGCGGGGAUGACGUCAAGUCAUCAUGCCCCUUACGCCCUGGGCUACACACGUGCUACAAUGGCCAGUACAAAGGGACGCGAGACUGCGAAGUGGAGCUAAUCCCAAAAAGCUGGUCUAAGUUCAGAUUGCAGUCUGCAACUCGACUGCAUGAAGGAGGAAUCGCUAGUAAUCGCGUAUCAGCCCGGCGCGGUGAAUACGUUCCCGGGCCUUGUACACACCGCCCGUCACACCACGAAAGCUGUCUGUACUCGAAGUCGCUGAG
rnacentral:rRNA from 1 species